AAGACUAUAGACCUGCGGAGUACCUGCGGAGGGAUCAUUAACGUAUCUAUGAUGGGGUGCGGAGCGCCCUGCUCCGGUCGAACGGCCGUGCAGCGGGUGCGCCGCCCCCGUCCCACCUCACAAACCCACUGUGAACAUUCACCGGUGGAGGGGGCUCGGUCUGCGCCGUGUCCCCGAUGCCGAAUACCCAAACUCCAGUUGCAAAGAGCGUCGUGCGGACUCGGUGCCGCCUAAAACAUG
rnacentral:misc_RNA from 1 species